UACAGAGGGGGCAAGCGUUGUUCGGAAUUACUGGGCGUAAAGGGCGCGUAGGCGGCCUUCUAAGUCGAACGUGAAAUCCCUGGGCUCAACCCAGGAACUGCGUCCGAUACUGGGAGGCUUGAAUCCGGGAGAGGGAUGCGGAAUUCCAGGUGUAGCGGUGAAAUGCGUAGAUAUCUGGAGGAACACCGGUGGCGAAGGCGGGUCUCUGGGCAGUAACUGACGCUGAGGAGCGAAAGCGUGGGGAGCGAACAGG
rnacentral:rRNA from 1 species